rnacentral:rRNA from 1 species
GACGUAGGGCGCGAGCGUUGUCCGGAUUUAUUGGGCGUAAAGAGCUCGUAGGCGGCUUGUCGCGUCGAAUGUGAAAUCUCGGGGCUCAACUCCGAGCUUGCAUUCGAUACGGGCAGGCUAGAGUUCGGUAGGGGAGACUGGAAUUCCUGGUGUAGCGGUGAAAUGCGCAGAUAUCAGGAGGAACACCGAUGGCGAAGGCAGGUCUCUGGGCCACUACUGACGCUGAGAAGCGAAAGCGUGGGGAGCGAACAGG